rnacentral:rRNA from 1 species
UGCGUAGGCGGUUGGGUAAGUCAGAGGUGAAAUUCCGGGGCUCAACCUCGGAACUGCCUUUGAUACUGCCUGACUAGAGUACUGGAGAGGAGACUGGAAUUCACGGUGUAGCAGUGAAAUGCGUAGAUAUCGUGAGGAAGACCAGUGGCGAAGGCGAGUCUCUGGACAGUUACUGACGCUGAGGCACGAAGGCUAGGGGAGCAAACG